UCAGCCCAACCGAUGUAAAAUCAUUUUUCCACAAAAACCCUAAUAUCCUUACCAUACAGCUCAUUCUUUUCCAUCCUUGAACACUCAACUGCAUACACCGCCGUUCAACCGAAACAAUCAAAAACAAAAUGAUCUUUCAGUAACACAAAGGGGAAAAGAAAUCUCAAAUAGCUGCUGCACUGUUCAUGAUCCAAAUCGAAAGCGCAUACCCACUGCCAACUUCGUCGGAGUCGGUCCCUGACCGUGCGCCGUUCACUUUGUCGUCAACAUCCCGCGCAUCCAGCUCAGCCGGCCUCCGACGGCCAUGCGUACUAACCGCGCCGCCCCUCACGCGAGUACAAUACGCCGGACAACCACCGCCCUAUUGUCCGUCGGAAGUUGCACGCUAUACCAAAUCCCAGCCGCAGUUGAAACUCAAUGGACGCUGAAACUCAACGCAACGUUGAAGAAAUGGUGAUGGAUUUACUCACAAAAGCCGAAUUUGAACAAGCCACUGAGUUCACCAUCCGAAUUGCCGCUUCCAAACGACUCGGUCUCGACCUUUCCGACUCACACAGCAGGCAAUUCGUCAGAAACAUCAUCGCCACCAACAAGAAACCGCCGCAAGUUUCCCCCGAGGCAGUCAAAGAACCGCCGCAAGAGUUGAAUAAGGUGGCGGGAGUGAAAUGCAAGAACGACGACUCUGAUAAAGUCAUUUGUGAGCUAUCAAGCAACAGGAAGGUGACUGUGGGAGAUUACAAAGGAAGGACCUUGGUGUCAAUUAGGGAGUACUUUCUGAAAGAUGGAAAACAACUUCCCACUCCUAAAGAUUUCAGGGAUGAGUUUAUCUUCUCAACAAUGGUUAGCCUUCAAGAAUAGUGUUCCUGCCAUAGAGGAAGCUAUCACAGAGCUGGAAGGAAGGUUAAGGAGAAGAUCAGGGCAUAGUGGCUGGAAAAAUGUUCCUGUUCAGCCUGUCUCUAUUGAGCCUGUCUCUAAAGCACAUGAGAGCUUAGUGAAGGCCUAAUGUACAGCAGUAGCACCUUGUAACUAAGACAUGUUUCAGUCAGUGCUAGGCCUUUUAAAGAUAGUAAAAUAUUGUAUAUUUCAAAACAUGUACUGGCAUUUUAAAGAAUAAUAAUCAAAGCUCAUAGGUACUUGCUUUCCUUGUAGGCAAUCAUUGUGAAGAAAUAUCCAGCACAACUGUCACUAACAGCAUGGGUAAAUUGCAUGGGUGCAGCACAAUCUGCUGUCUUUACAACAUUCCUGCAGCACAAACCUAGAGUCUGGUUCAUAACAUCAAGGCUUGAACUCUUCUGCAUUUUAUACGCAAUGAGUAAAGCAUUUUAGCUGGUUAUCCACAUUCACAAAACAAACCAGCAUUAGGAUGCUGAAAUUUAAAGUAAAAACUGAACUGAAUCGUGUAUGAGUAAUGGCAGGGAGUUAUAUGUGGUGGUUUGAUUAUCUACAUUCAAAUUUGGACCACAGUAGAAAAAGGGCCAGUCUUUGUGAGUAUGUUCAAUCCCCUUGGAACAAUAUUGGUGACUGUGCUAGCAUAUUUUAUUUUGGGGCAACAACUUCACAUUGGCAGUAUAUUGAGAGUACUCAUUGUUAUCAUGGGUCUAUACUUGCUUUUAUGGGGAAAAGAGAGUGAUGGAGAUUACAAGCCACAACAAUCCUUACCAGCGGAACAUGAGGAGAAAGAUUGCAAGGCACCACGGAUAAAGACUUCAGUGGCAUAGGAAGCAUAUAUGAAUAAACUAAAUCAGUUAUGUAAGAGAGCAUCUUGCUUAUUCUCACUCUAAACUUACUAGAUUUAGAUUAAAAGGACUAAUAGUCAGCUCCUAGAUUUCAAAAGCAAAUUCAGGGAGAACAAUUAAUUAGUGUGACAUAGGUUUCAAUGCUUGAUGUGCUUAAGAAAGAAUUUGGCCUAGACAAAGUCUGGCAACAAAUUGUGCACAUCAAUUUCAAAGUCUGGAAAAAGAGUAUUUGAGUAAUAAAGUUUAUUUAAGCUCUUUAUAUCAUUUGAAAAUUCAUUCUAUCUAGUAGUUACGUUUAUUCAACAAGUAUAUUGUGUGAAGAUAGAAGGUGCAUGAGUUUUGGUUCAAAAUGUACAGGGAGGAUAACAUAUUUGUUUAGUCUGUUUGAUCAUGUUGGAUUAUGUGUGAAGCUAUGACACAAACAUAGACACAUUAACAUUGUAAUAAUUGAGAAAGUGAAAUAGUUGAAUGUAACCCAUAUGUAUUAGUUUAUGUAUGCAUAUGUUUAUGUAAACAUAUUCUAAAUUAUAGGUAGAGUUUUAUGUAUUCAAUUGAGGAUCUUUCACCCCUUUGAUCCUCGGUAUAAAUUCGAUUUUAACAAUCACCUUACACAUAGGAUAUAUUA